AACGAACGCUGGCGGCAGGCCUAACACAUGCAAGUCGAGCGGAUCCUUCGGGAUUAGCGGCGGACGGGUGAGUAACGCGUGGGAAUAUGCCCUUCUCUACGGAAUAGCCUCGGGAAACUGGGAGUAAUACCGUAUACGCCCUACGGGGGAAAGAUUUAUCGGAGAAGGAUUAGCCCGCGUUGGAUUAGGUAGUUGGUGGGGUAAUGGCCUACCAAGCCUACGAUCCAUAGCUGGUUUGAGAGGAUGAUCAGCCACACUGGGACUGAGACACGGCCCAGACUCCUACGGGAGGCAGCAGUGGGGAAUCUUAGACGAUGGGGGAAACCCUGAUCUAGCCAUGCCGCGUGGGUGAUGAAGGCCUUAGGGUUGUAAAGCCCUUUCAGCUGGGAAGAUAAUGACGGUACCAGCAGAAGAAGCCCCGGCUAACUCCGUGCCAGCAGCCGCCGUAACAC
rnacentral:rRNA from 1 species